rnacentral:rRNA from 1 species
GAGAGCUUGCUCUCAAGAAGUUAGCGGCGGACGGGUGAGUAACACGUGGGUAACCUGCCCAUAAGACUGGGAUAACUCCGGGAAACCGGGGCUAAUACCGGAUAACAUUUUGAACUGCAUGGUUCGAAAUUGAAAGGCGGCUUCGGCUGUCACUUAUGGAUGGACCCGCGUCGCAUUAGCUAGUUGGUGAGGUAACGGCUCACCAAGGCAACGAUGCGUAGCCGACCUGAGAGGGUGAUCGGCCACACUGGGACUGAGACACGGCCCAGACUCCUACGGGAGGCAGCAGUAGGGAAUCUUCCGCAAUGGACGAAAGUCUGACGGAGCAACGCCGCGUGAGUGAUGAAGGCUUUCGGGUCGUAAAACUCUGUUGUUAGGGAAGAACAAGUGCUAGUUGAAUAAGCUGGCACCUUGACGGUACCUAACCAGAAAGCCACGGCUAACUACGUGCCAGCAGCCGCGGUAAUACGUAGGUGGCAAGCGUUAUCCGGAAUUAUUGGGCGUAAAGCGCGCGCAGGUGGUUUCUUAAGUCUGAUGUGAAAGCCCACGGCUCAACCGUGGAGGGUCAUUGGAAACUGGGAGACUUGAGUGCAGAAGAGGAAAGUGGAAUUCCAUGUGUAGCGGUGAAAUGCGUAGAGAUAUGGAGGAACACCAGUGGCGAAGGCGACUUUCUGGUCUGUAACUGACACUGAGGCGCGAAAGCGUGGGGGAGCAAACAGGAUUAGAUACCCCUGGGUAGUC